rnacentral:lncRNA from 1 species
CAGGGCCCCUUUCUCGGUGUUUUUAGCCCUCCUGUGUUUACUUUCCCAGGUGUUACUCUUUACUGUGACCGUAAGCGUCACGUUUAAUUCUGUUAGUGGAAGGUGCGACUCGCUCAGUGAACAGCUCCGGCGGGGGAUGUGCUCGUAGGGCUGCGGUCAGGCGCUGGCAGUGAAACAGGGCCGUGCCGGGGGGCGCGGACGGGGUUUCGGUUAGCCAGUUUAACUCCCUUUCGUGUGCUGAGGGAUGGACGGCACGCUGUGAGGAAAUGGAGAUGAGGAAAAGAACUUGGGGGGCUGGCGGAUGCUUCCUUGAUAUUACCAGCUCUUUGGGUUCACUGGGUCUGGGAUUCUCCUGCCCCACCUCAGAAAUCCUCAAAAUAGAAGCUGACCUGCAAGGUACCCAUCUGUAUCACUUAAGAGACUUAAGGUGUCUACUCUUGAAUGAGAUGAAUCACUUCCUAUAUGUGCCUGUUUCUGUCUGCAGACUAUAUUGGAAAUUUGGAUGACCAUGUCAAAUGCUGAUGUCUGCAUUAUAGAAAUCUAAGGUUGGCUGUAUCCUACCUUUCUAAAUAUUUGGGAAAUAUCUAGCAGAUUGAGAUAUAUU